rnacentral:rRNA from 1 species
UUGAACGCUGGCGGCAUGCCUAACACAUGCAAGUCGAACGGAAACAGGACGCUGGGGAUCCCUUCGGGGUGAACUUGUCGCUGUCGAGUGGCGGACGGGUGAGUAAUGCGUAGGAAUUUGCCUCAAAGUGGGGGAUAGCCCGAAGAAAUUCGGAUUAAUACCGCAUGUGCUCUACGGAGGAAAGCGGGCCUCUACCUGUAAGCUCGCGCUUUGAGAUAAGCCUACGUCGGAUUAGCUUGUUGGUGGGGUAAUGGCCUACCAAGGCGACGAUCCGUAGCUGGUUUGAGAGGAUGAUCAGCCACACCGGAACUGAGACACGGUCCGGACUCCUACGGGAGGCAGCAGUGGGGAAUAUUGGACAAUGGGCGCAGCCUGAUCCAGCAAUGCCGCGUGUGUGAAGAAGGCCUGCGGGUUGUAAAGCACUUUUAUCAGGAAAGAAAAUCUCGGGGCUAAUACCCCCGGGCCUUGACGGUACCUGAUGAAUAAGCACCGGCUAACUCCGUG